AUAAUCCCUUCCUGUUGACAGGAAGCAACAAAUGUUGCAAAGGUUGUGGAGAAAGGGGAACCCUCUUACGAUGUUGGUGGGAGUGCAAGCUGGUAUAACCACUCUGGAAAACAGUAUGGAGGUUCCUCAAGAAGCUAAAAAUAGAGUUACCCUAUGAUCCAGCAAUUGUACUACUAGGUAUUUACCCCAAAAAUAACAAUAGUGAUCCAAAAGGUC